rnacentral:rRNA from 1 species
CCUUCGGGGAACGAUAACGGCGUCGAGCGGCGGACGGGUGAGUAAUGCCUAGGAAAUUGCCCUGAUGUGGGGGAUAACCAUUGGAAACGAUGGCUAAUACCGCAUAAUGCCUACGGGCCAAAGAGGGGGACCUUCGGGCCUCUCGCGUCAGGAUAUGCCUAGGUGGGAUUAGCUAGUUGGUGAGGUAAUGGCUCACCAAGGCGACGAUCCCUAGCUGGUCUGAGAGGAUGAUCAGCCACACUGGAACUGAGACACGGUCCAGACUCCUACGGGAGGCAGCAGUGGGGAAUAUUGCACAAUGGGCGCAAGCCUGAUGCAGCCAUGCCGCGUGUGUGAAGAAGGCCUUCGGGUUGUAAAGCACUUUCAGUCGUGAGGAAGGUAGUGUAGUUAAUAGCUGCAUUAUUUGACGUUAGCGACAGAAGAAGCACCGGCUAACUCCGUGCCAGCAGCCGCGGUAAUACGGAGGGUGCGAGCGUUAAUCGGAAUUACUGGGCGUAAAGCGCAUGCAGGUGGUUUGUUAAGUCAGAUGUGAAAGCCCGGGGCUCAACCUCGGAAUUGCAUUUGAAACUGGCAGACUAGAGUACUGUAGAGGGGGGUAGAAUUUCAGGUGUAGCGGUGAAAUGCGUAGAGAUCUGAAGGAAUACCGGUGGCGAAGGCGGCCCCCUGGACAGAUACUGACACUCAGAUGCGAAAGCGUGGGGAGCAAACAGGAUUAGAUACCCUGGUAGUCCACGCCGUAAACGAUGUCUACUUGGAGGUUGUGGCCUUGAGCCGUGGCUUUCGGAGCUAACGCGUUAAGUAGACCGCCUGGGGAGUACGGUC